GUGAAAUUUGGUCGCAGUUCUGUUUCUGCCGUUUCCGCUGUUUCUUUUCAGAAAUGCUUUUAGCGGUAUGUAGAAGAAGCCAUUGUCCGGCGAUAAUUUAAUAAAAAGCUAGAAAACAUCGAACCAUGCAAACAAAGCUUCCAAAGAAAUGUCCACACUGUAUAGGCUCUGGUGGAAUGCUAUCCCGGACAUCGUAUCCAGAUCCGGAUCCCGGACACGCUCUAAGAAAACAUCGAUCCAUCGAAUUCCAAGGAAAUGUCCACACGGUACGGUAUCCAGAUCCGGAUCCCAGGCACGCUCAGAGGUGGUGGCUUCACUUGGAUUACUUUUCAUCAAUUUUCGGUGUUAUACUUCAAAAGGAAAGCAAGUUUGGAAAACUCGAACAACCUUCAAGCCAUCUCUUCACAACAUUGUACCCCGAAGAUGGAUUUCGCAUGAUGUGGUUGUCAUCCCAAGGAUUUAAUCAACACCUGAAAAUGGACGAAUUGCUUAACAAGAAGAAGCUUGCGCCAGACAUCGCAAUGUCUUGUAGCAGAAGAGGUAACAAAAAAUAAAUUAGAAGAAAAAAACGGAAAAAUAAAAAACAUAUGAAAUAAAAGUCUCUAGCUUUUUGUAAACAAACCGAAAAACCUAAAUGAAUGGCAACCAUGCUAAUCGGUCCA